rnacentral:lncRNA from 1 species
CCCUCUUGAGAAAUAGACACAUAUAACUCAUCACAUUCACUAUACUUGCAGCAAAACAAAUGCAAAAUACAUAGUACACUGUGGCACAGCUUCUAAUGCAAAAUGGGACUGGGCUCAAUGAAAAAAAUGAUUUUAGAUGAUAAAUUAAUAAGGAGGAGGACUAAUCAAGGAUACUGUUGAUACAGCGCCGAGGAAGCAUGUGAACUAAGUACUCAUCUAAAAUAAUUAGUAUCCUCUCUACUCCCUCUUGCCACAACAUGUACUUCACUCAUUUAUACAAAAUGCCUGUGACAAGCCACCAUGGUGGAGAAGCUGGAGCCAGACUGCACGGUUUGAGAUCAAGCUCUGUCACUUACCUGCCUCAUAAUGAUUGGCAAGCGGCUUUACCUCUUAAUGCCUCAAUUUGCCCCCCUAACAGUGGAAGUAAUAAUAAUUCAUCAACAGAGUUGUUGUAAAGAAAAAUGAACACUGAGUGGAAACACUUAAUUAUUUCAUGGAGUCCGUGUGUUUGGAUUUAAAGCCAACAUAUAGAAAGCUCUAGGCUAGGACAUGUAGUUGAGCAAGCUGGGCAGGAUGUCUCUUCCUUCCUCCGGGAUGAUUGGGACCCAAGGCACCCAGCUCUCACACCCAUCACUGUACCAAGAUUUCUAGUCCAAUCUCUGGAUGCCUUAUACCUGUCUAUUCUUAUCUUCUCAUAUUAAAUGUCAUUCUAUUUAACAAGCAUUCUACGUGCGCCAGAGUAAGGUGUUGUUUUACUUGGCUUAUGAAAUCUCAGCACCUCAUCUUUUGUAAACUUCAGCAUUCCUUACGUUUGUUUUCAAAGCAUUAAAGAAUUAAUUGUAGUCUCUCCUGAAAAAUAAAUAUAAAUAAAUAAAUACACAGGCACCAUUAGGCCAAGAACUGUGCCUACCUGAUUGUGCUUUGCAUGUAGUAGAGUCUCAAUAAAUUAAUCAUAAGUGAAUGAGUAAAUAUAGACAUUUAAGGCUAACACACUCAAAAUUUGUUUGAACAUUUCAUUUAUGCUAUUAUUGACAAUCUGUACAAUUUCUUUGAAAGCAUCUAAACAUCCCUAUGUAUAUACCAAAAAGAGAUUGGGAUCUCUAAGAAACACUUUUAUAAAAUUCAGUUUAAACCAGAUAAAGUACAUGUAUAUAAGUGAUUACUGAAUUUGAGACAUUUACAAAGUAUGAUGGAAAACAUAAUUAAUAUUUAAGAAACAAGGACAGAACAUAACCCUACUCAUGUUAUUAUCAUAAUCCUGGCAAUACACAGUCAUUGAAUGCUCUCCCUGGGCCAAAUGGUGUGCACAAGGAUACCAAACCUAGAAAGGCCAAGUUCCCAUGUUAUUCUGCUGAUAAAUUACAAGGAAUGGGUUAAAAGCCAGGUAUGUCUGAUUUAGUAAUCUGUUCCCCAACCACUACACCCAACUACCUCAACUCAGGCUCAAUUCUACAGAUACCUGCAGAAGAGAGAAAGCAAAGUCAAUGUUGAAUGAGAUUACUCAGACUUAUCUAUUGAGAAAGAAAUUAUU